UACGGAGGGUGCAAGCGUUAUCCGGAUUCACUGGGUUUAAAGGGUGCGUAGGUGGGUCUGUAAGUCAGUGGUGAAAUCCCCGAGCUUAACUUGGGAACUGCCGUUGAUACUAUAGAUCUUGAAUAUCGUGGAGGUAAGCGGAAUAUGUCAUGUAGCGGUGAAAUGCUUAGAUAUGACAUAGAACACCAAUUGCGAAAGGCAGCUUACUACACGAUCAUUGACACUGAGGCACGAAAGCGUGGGGAGCAAACAGG
rnacentral:rRNA from 1 species